AUUUAUUUAAUAUAAAAAGUAUAUUUGACUUCCAAUCAAAAAGUCUAUUUUAGAAUAAAUA
rnacentral:tRNA from 2 species